rnacentral:lncRNA from 1 species
GGUAACUGACAAUCAGUUCUUUAAUACAAGAAAUGGGAAACAUAAUGAGUUUCAAAGGUUCAUGUAGAGAGUUUAUCUGAAGAAUGGUUGCGCAGCAAGGGACACGACAGUGUUAAGUUGAUAGAGUGUGAGAGUACGUGACUUGUAGCAUGAAAACUAUGUCCUUGAGCAACAGAUGUCUCGUAACAGCCAGGAUGUGAAAUUGCUUGGUAUGCAGAAAGAUAAUCAAGUAUAAAGAAGCAGUAACCGCAAGGCUUAUCGCAAAAAGAUAUAUGUGUUAAUGGAAAGGUAACCAAUCCUGAGCUUCGCUUUUGCAAUAUGUAUGAGCUAAUUAGUACUUGAUAAAGAAACUGUGAUCGACUCCAAUAAACUGAGACUUGUUGAUCAUGAUAGCAUGAGGCUUGUCUCCCGCGACUCUCUCCAACAUCUGGCGCCCGGAUCUGUGAGACGUUGGCGUUGGGUUCUGGUCCCGCAGCUAGACAGACGGCGAUUAAGCUCCUCUACCUGGUGCCGCGCCCUGAGUGACCACAGCGGUGGGCUCAGCCGAUACGUGCUGCCGAAGCCUAGAGGGGCUGCAACAGCGCUGAUGUCACAUCCGUUGAGAAUGUGGAGCAACGGGAGUAUGGUGCGGAAAAUGCCAAUCCAACACUCACAAACUCCACUGCUUGUUGAAGGAAGCAGGGAAACUCGAAGAACAGCGCGAGCAGCGGCCGCGCAGGGACACAAAUGGCAGCUGCACUGUCAGCACCCCCCGACAACUCCAACCAGCAACAACCGGGAGCCUCGGCUUGGACCUGGCAGCCUUAGUAGAUGUUGACAUCCUUUCCACUCAUUUGCAUAAGGUUCCCACUGGACGUUUUGGCCCUAUUUUUAUAAAUGGCCAGCCAAUAGGGGGCUUGAUAAUUGGUCGCUCCUCUGCUACUACUCUGGGUCUGUAUGUUGAGCCGGGGGUCAUUGACUCUGAUUGUAGAAGUGAACUUAUGAUUAUGGUUCAUACUCCGUAUCCCCCCGUGAAAGUACCCAAAGGACAGAGACUAGCCCAAUUGAUUCCGUUGCCUCAAAUGACCAAGGGACUAAUGUCCCUUACACAAGAGCCCAGGAACAAAGGAAGCUUCGGAUCUACGGGGGGCCUAACCUUGCUCACCAUAGACCUCAAUACUCGACCUAAGAAGUCCUGUCGUCUGACUUAUCAAGGACGCAGUAUCACACUUAAGGGACUCCUCGAUACAGGUGCUGACGCGAGUAUAGUUGAUCUUGCACACUGGCCUUUCACCUGGCCAAUACAGCCCUCAGCAACCACUGUCACUGCAUCGGAGGAAUGACGCUGGCUAAUCGUACCCCUGUACUGACAGUCGAGAUUGAAGGAAAACAAGCAUCGACAGCAUUUUCUAUAACAGCACUGCCACCUACUGUUCACUGCCUAAUUGGCUGCGAUAUUCUUGCUCAACUGGGUCUUGUCCUCACU